UUAAAUUGAAGAGUUUGAUCAUGGCUCAGAUUGAACGCUGGCGGCAGGCCUAACACAUGCAAGUCGAACGGUAACAGGAAACAGCUUGCUGUUUCGCUGACGAGUGGCGGACGGGUGAGUAAUGUCUGGGAAACUGUCUGAUGGAGGGGGAUAACUACUGGAAACGGUAGCUAA
rnacentral:rRNA from 1 species